rnacentral:rRNA from 1 species
AUACGGAAGGUCCGGGCGUUAUCCGGAUUUAUUGGGUUUAAAGGGAGCGCAGGCUGAUUGUUAAGCGUGACGUGAAAUGUAGCCGCUCAACGGCUGAACUGCGUCGCGAACUGGCAGUCUUGAGUGAGUACGACGUCAGCGGAAUUCGUGGUGUAGCGGUGAAAUGCUUAGAUAUCACGAAGGACCCCGAUUGCGAAGGCAGCUGACAAGCCCUUUACUGACGGUAAAGCUCGAAGGUGCGGGUAUCGAACAGGAUUAGAUGCCCUGGUAGUCCUCACGGUAAACGAUGGAUGCCCGCUGUUGGCGAUACAAUGUCAGCGGCCAAGCGAAAGCGUUAAGCAUCCCACCUGGGGAGUACGGUGGCAACGGUGAAGCUCAAAGGAAUUGACGGGG